CACCCUCCGUAUAUUCCUCGAUGGUGAUAGGCUCUCGGGAAGCCAGAGUAGAGGUCGACUUGAGCCUCGGAGCCGCAAGGGACUUAGAAGAGCCCAGAGUCCUACCUUAGGUGGAAGCCUUGGAGGCUGCAGAACAAAAGCCCUUGGACGUGGGCACCAGUGCCCAGAAAGAAACAGAGGCAAGGGAAGCAGUCCGACCUGCCACGAGGGUAGAUAGCAUGAAAAACCUCUCGGAUCACGUCUGCCACGGAUCGACUAGCCCGGAAGGCCU
rnacentral:lncRNA from 1 species